CACCUGAAAUAAUUUCACUAUGUGAAUUUCACAGAAGAAAAGCUUCCUUCCAAUUUUAUUAUACAAUAACUGAAUGUCAUUUUCUACAUAACAGGCACAGGUCACAAAUGAAAGGUUAAACAACGAUAAGUGCAACACCAAUAGCCUAUGUUAAGAAAAAAAAACCCUGUUUAUCCUUACAGCUCACAGAGCUGUAAAUUUAGCAAAUCAUUACGAGCGGUAUGGUCAUCACAUACACAAUGGCUCAGUUUGGUGGCAGAAGGUGAAAGCAGGGGCAUAGAGAUCUAAAAGAAAGAUUAGAAUUAACUGUUCUCUCUUGACAACUAUGCUGGCCUCCCGUACUAAAGUGAGUGGCAAAAUGGGCGGCGAAACUUUUAAAGUCCUGAACAAAUCUAUCCCAUUUAAAUAAAACUCCAAAGUAAGGCAUCCAGCAGCAGGGCCGGCAGGAGUAAGCUGGCACCUCCGCUCCCAGCCAGACCGCCUUUGUUCGCUGGUGCCAGCCGCCGUAGCAUCCAUGGGAGCACAGAAGCCCCGCUCAGGAUCAUGCCUGCUGGUAGCCUAUGUGGAAGGAUUUCCCCAGUCCUGCCUGAGCAGUGGGUUUGAGGCACCAUGGUUGAAUCUCCAGCCCCUGCUCAGCAUCAUCCUUUGAGCAAACCUUUGCCACUGCUCUCACUGGGACAUUAUACUUGUUGUAUUUCCCAGCUGCAUGUUUCUCCUGGUGGAAUAUUUUUCUCCCAGCAGUGGUAUGAGCAAGAGAAACUAAGCUCCAACAAAGGAGGAAACAAAAACUCCCCGGAAGGAUAUUAAUCAGACACGACUUGAGUAACCUGAAGAAGAGCACUCUUCAUACUGACAAAGUGGAAAUGGCAUCUAUCCAAACACACUGGCUCAAUGAGCCUUGGUUUUGAUGACCUUAUCCCUUGUUGGCCUUUCAGUUUA